rnacentral:rRNA from 1 species
AACGCGAAGAACCUUACCUCGGCUUGACAUGCACGUGGUACCGAGGGGAAACCUGAGGGACCCGCAAGGGAGCGUGCACAGAUGCUGCAUGGCUGUCGUCAGCUCGUGCCGUGAGGUGUUGGGUUAAGUCCCGCAACGAGCGCAACCCUUGUCCUUAGUUGAAUUCUCUAAGGAGACUGCCGGUCUAAACCGGAGGAAGGCGGGGAUGAGGUCAAGUCAUCACGGCUCUUACGUCGAGGGCUACACACACGCUACAAUGGCCGGUACAACGGGCUGCAAAGGGGCGACCUGGAGCUAAUCCCACCAAAGCCGGUCUCAGUUCGGAUCGCAGGCUGCAACUCGCCUGCGUGAAGUCGGAGUUGCUAGUAACUGCUGGUCAGCACACAGCAGUGAAUACGUUCCCGGGCCUUGUACACACCGCUCGUC